GUCAGAAUCGCCGAGUGGUCCAAGGUGCUGCGUUCAGAUCGCAGUCCACUCUGUGUGCGUUGGUUCAAAUCCCACUUCUGACA
rnacentral:tRNA from 1 species